rnacentral:tRNA from 1 species
CCCCAUAUAGUCUAGGCGGUUAGGAUAGCCGGCUCUCACCCAGCAGAACCGGGUUCGAGUCCCGGUGAGGCAA